GCCCACGUAGCUCAGCGGUAGAGCAACCGCCUUGUAAGCGGUAGGUCGGGAGUUCGACUCUCCCCGUGGGCU
rfam:Elusimicrobia bacterium RIFCSPHIGHO2_02_FTLL_57_9 rifcsphigho2_02_scaffold_9733, whole genome shotgun sequence.